CAGUCCGGACGGAGGAGACAUGAUGGCGCUGCGGGCGAUGCGGGGGAUUGUCAACGGGGCCGCACCCGAGCUACCCGUGCCCACCGGUGGGCCGGCGGUGGGAGCUCGGGAGCAGGCGCUGGCCGUCAGUCGGAACUACCUCUCCCAGCCUCGCCUCACAUACAAGACAGUAUCUGGAGUCAAUGGUCCGCUAGUGAUCUUAGAUCAUGUUAAGUUUCCCAGGUAUGCUGAAAUCGUCCAUUUGACCUUACCAGAUGGCACGAAGAGAAGUGGGCAAGUUCUGGAAGUUAGUGGUUCCAAGGCAGUAGUUCAGGUGUUUGAAGGGACUUCAGGUAUAGAUGCUAAGAAAACAUCCUGUGAGUUUACUGGGGAUAUUCUCCGAACACCAGUGUCUGAGGAUAUGCUUGGUCGAGUAUUCAAUGGAUCGGGAAAACCCAUUGACAGAGGUCCUGUUGUACUGGCUGAAGACUUCCUUGAUAUCAUGGGUCAGUCAAUCAACCCUCAAUGUCGAAUCUACCCAGAGGAAAUGAUUCAGACCGGCAUUUCAGCCAUCGAUGGAAUGAACAGUAUUGCCAGGGGGCAGAAAAUUCCUAUCUUCUCUGCUGCUGGGCUACCACACAAUGAGAUUGCAGCUCAGAUCUGUCGCCAGGCUGGUUUGGUAAAGAAAUCCAAAGAUGUAGUAGACUACAGUGAGGAAAAUUUUGCAAUUGUAUUUGCUGCUAUGGGUGUAAACAUGGAAACUGCCCGGUUCUUCAAAUCUGACUUUGAAGAAAAUGGCUCAAUGGACAAUGUCUGCCUCUUUUUGAACUUGGCUAAUGACCCAACCAUUGAGCGAAUUAUCACUCCUCGCCUGGCUCUAACCACAGCUGAAUUUCUGGCGUACCAAUGUGAGAAACAUGUAUUGGUUAUCCUCACAGACAUGAGUUUUUACGCUGAAGCACUUCGAGAGGUUUCAGCAGCCAGGGAAGAGGUUCCUGGUCGACGAGGCUUCCCAGGUUACAUGUAUACAGAUUUAGCCACAAUAUAUGAACGCGCUGGACGAGUGGAAGGGAGAAAUGGCUCGAUUACUCAAAUCCCUAUUCUUACCAUGCCUAAUGAUGAUAUCACUCACCCAAUCCCGGACUUGACUGGCUACAUUACAGAGGGGCAAAUCUAUGUGGACAGACAGCUACACAACAGACAGAUUUAUCCACCUAUCAAUGUGCUGCCCUCACUCUCACGGUUAAUGAAGUCUGCUAUUGGAGAAGGGAUGACCAGGAAGGAUCAUGCCGAUGUAUCUAACCAGCUGUAUGCGUGCUAUGCUAUUGGGAAGGAUGUACAAGCCAUGAAAGCUGUCGUUGGAGAAGAAGCCCUUACCUCAGAUGAUCUUCUCUACUUGGAAUUUCUGCAGAAGUUUGAGAGGAACUUUAUUGCUCAGGGUCCUUACGAAAAUCGCACUGUCUUUGAGACUUUGGACAUUGGCUGGCAGCUGCUCCGGAUCUUCCCCAAAGAAAUGCUAAAGAGAAUCCCUCAGAGCACCCUGAGCGAAUUUUACCCUCGAGACUCUGCAAAGCAUUAGCUGCUGCUUCUGCACUGCCCCACACUCUUGUGAAAUACUGGUUCUAUUUUCUUUAUUCCUUUUGCGCUCCCCAAUCCCCACCUUUGUGUUGGAGUUUACCGUGUUACCCUGUAAUUAAAAACAAAGAAUAGGUAA